rnacentral:rRNA from 1 species
UGCGUUCGUGAACGCGCGUCGAGAGUACCCGGAGAAAAAGCAUCGGCUAACUCCGUGCCAGCAGCCGCGGUAAUACGGAGGAUGCGAGCGUUAUCCGGAUUUAUUGGGUUUAAAGGGUGCGUAGGCGGGAUGCCAAGUCAGCGGUAAAAAUGCGGUGCUCAACGCCGUCGAGCCGUUGAAACUGGCGUUCUUGAGUGGGCGAGAAGUAUGCGGAAUGCGUGGUGUAGCGGUGAAAUGCAUAGAUAUCACGCAGAACUCCGAUUGCGAAGGCAGCAUACCGGCGCCCUACUGACGCUGAGGCACGAAAGCGUGGGUAUCGAACAGGAUUAGAUACCCUGGUAGUCCACGCAGUAAACGAUGAAUGCUAACUGUCCGGCUCGAAUGAGCGCUGG